rnacentral:misc_RNA from 1 species
AAUUUACCUAUAUAUUAUUACAAUUAAAAUUUACCUAGCUUUAUUUUAAUAACUUUUAAUAAAAUAUAUUGUAAAAAUAUACUAUUAUUAAUUUUGGAGGGAAUUAAUUUUAUAAUAUUGAUUUAAUGUAUAUCGAUUCAACUCCGAUUUAACCCAUGUUGAACUUUAAACACUUUACCCUCUGUCUUUAUUGAUUUUUAGACCAGGCCGGGUCUGAAAAUCAUGAUAUUGGCCAGAGGAAUACUUUCUUCCCUGGGAUCAGUUGCAUAGUAGCAUUUGGGAUCUUGAAUUCAUUAAGAAAAUGGAUAAACAGGUUUUGGACAUGGAAACCCCUAGCAUUUGGAUGCUGGGAGUUGACUAUCUUUAUUAUUGCUGUGUAGCAUAUGCUGUUGUUAUUGGUGUUACCCCGAAUAAGUUGAUUUUCCUGCUUUGAUUAUCCAGUUGAAUAGACUGUAAUCCAUAUGUGCUGAAACACCGUUCAUGGCAGUUAAAAAUUAUUCCAAGCAUCUUCUUUUAUUCCAUGGAACACUUGAAAAGUGAAAGUUAGGCAUCACUCGUAUGGAAGGACGAAAAAAGAAAGAAAAAAAAAAUCUGAUAAACUAUGUAAAUGUGGUAUAUUCUCACUCCUUGAAAGAGAACCUUGUGGACCAGGUAUGAUAUUGGUUGAAUUUAUGGUAUUACCGGUUUGUAGUUUGUAGAAAAGCACUCGCUUGAGUUUCUCUGUGAUUGAUUUUCUAAAAGAUGCUUGCUUGCUUGAUCAUAUGUUAAUGUCAUGAUGUGGACGAAUACUGUUGUUUUCAUGCAAGUUACACAAGGCUGUCCUUUUUUGUCAUCAGGUCUGGGAUCUUGGCGGACAAG